rnacentral:rRNA from 1 species
UGGGGAAUAUUGGACAAUGGGCGAAAGCCUGAUCCAGCCAUGCCGCGUGAGUGAUGAAGGCCUUCGGGUUGUAAAGCUCUUUCGGUGGUGACGAUAAUGACGGUAACCACAUAAGAAGCCCCGGCUAACUUCGUGCCAGCAGCCGCGGUAAUACGAAGGGGGCUAGCGUUGUUCGGAAUAACUGGGCAUAAAGCGCACGUAGGCGGACUUGCAAGUCAGAGGUGAAAUCCCGGGGCUCAACCCCGGAACUGCCCUUGAAACUGCGAGUCUGGAAUCUCAGAGGGGAUAGCGGAAUUCCAAAUGUAGGGUGAAAUCCGUAGAUAUUUGGAGGAACACCGGUGGCGAAGGCGGCUAUCUGGAUGAGUAUUGACGCUGAGGUGCGAAAGCGUGGGAAUCAAACAGGAUUAGAUACCCAAGUAGUCCCUGAGCGGGCUGGCAAGGCGCAU